GGGGGCGAUAUGGAUUCGACGCUGGAAACAAAGUUCAAGGUGCAUGUCGUGAUGACAGCCAAUCACGUUAAUCCAAAGCUGUACUUGAAUAGUCGCAAACGACGAUUCUUACGCUCUAGCAGCUUAAUUGCUGCUAGCGGUCGAUAACAAGGUGCCAGUAC
rnacentral:tmRNA from 1 species